UACGUAGGGGGCAAGCGUUGUCCGGAUUUAUUGGGCGUAAAGAGCGUGUAGGCGGCCUGACAGGUCUGCUGUGAAAACUCGAGGCUCAACCUCGAGACGCCGAUGGAAACCAUCUGACUAGAGUCCGGAAGAGGAGAGUGGAAUUCCUGGUGUAGCGGUGAAAUGCGCAGAUAUCAGGAAGAACACCCGUGGCUAAGGCGGCUCUCUAGUACGGUACUGACGCUGAGACGCGAAAGCGUGGGGAGCGAACAGG
rnacentral:rRNA from 1 species